AUUGAACGCUGGCGGCAGGCCUAACACAUGCAAGUCGAGCGGAUGAAGGGAGCUUGCUCCUGUAUUCAGCGGCGGACGGGUGAGUAAUGCCUAGGAAUCUGCCUGGUAGUGGGGGAUAACGUCCGGAAACGGGCGCUAAUACCGCAUACGUCCUGAGGGAGAAAGUGAGGGAUCUUCGGACCUCACGCUAUCAGAUGAGCCUAGGUCGUAUUAGCUAGUUGGUGGGGUAAAGGCCUACCAAGGCGACGAUCCGUAACUGGUCUGAGAGGAUGAUCAGUCACACUGGAACUGAGACACGGUCCAGACUCCUACGGGAGGCAGCAGUGGGGAAUAUUGGACAAUGGGCGAAAGCCUGAUCCAGCCAUGCCGCGUGUGUGAAGAAGGUCUUCGGAUUGUAAAGCACUUUAAGUUGGGAGGAAGGGCAGUAAGUUAAUACCUUGCUGUUUUGACGUUACCAACAGAAUAAGCACCGGCUAACUUCGUG
rnacentral:rRNA from 1 species